AUUUAUAAAAUUAUAAAUACAUUUAUAAAAUCAAACGUUUUAAAUUAUUAUAAGAGGUUCUAAAUCAUUUAUAAAAGCUUAUACAUUAAUUUAUAAAAUGUAUUUUGAAAAUUUAUCCUCCUAUUACAAUAUUUUGAUUUUUUUCAUUUUUAAUGGUAAAAUUUCUUAACUAUGUUUACUUAGUGUAGAAACCUCUAAACUAAAAAUUACUGGCAGUAAUAGUAAUUAUGACCUGUUAGAGUUUAAUUCAUUAAAUAAAGUUAGUUUAGUGUAUUUUCAUGGGUUUUUAGUAAUUAAACCCCUCAACUAAAGAAGAAUCGUAAAAAAAACUCUCAACUAAAAAUUCUGUGAAAUAAACCCUCAACUUUAGUUUCGUUAACAUAUGUUACCCUCCGUCUAAAAAACCGUGACGGAGGGUGACAUAUGUUAACGGUUUAUAAGUUGAGGGUUUAUUUCAUUGAAUUUUUAGUUGAGGGUUUUUUUAUAAUUCAUCUUUAGUUGAGGGGUUUUAUCACUAAAAGUCAUUAAAUGUUAUUAAAUUAUUUAUUAUCAUUUCAUUAAAUACUUAGAUUGGAGGUUUUUACCCAAAACAAACUUUGUUGAGGGGUUUUAACGUUAAAAUUCAUUAUUCUUUUUUUAUUAUCUAUUAUUUAAAUCCUUAUAGUGGGAUUUGUUUUAUCAAAAAUCAGUUGCAAUCAACUGGCGAGAUAUUUUCUUUCAUAAUAUCAUGCAUUUAAUAUUUAAAUAUAUAUAUAGCAAGAUUUGAGUUACCAAAAUUAUGUAUAUAUUAUAACCAGAAUAUCUUUAAAAUUUUAUUAGAAGAUAUUAUAUCUCAUAGCUGAAUUAAAAUUUAUUAGAAGAUAUUCUAUCUCAUAUCUUCUCUUGAAAACUAGGUCAUUUAGAAACUUAAACUAAUUUGCUAUAUAAAUAUCACGCCACCUCCAGUAGUUUCAUGCAUCUAUCUUUUAAGUUUUCAUAUGUUUUUGAUCGUUCUAAUUUAAAUUCUAAUUUUGUGAUCUUACGAAGGUGUAUGAUAAUCAAUAAGUAACUCAUAUACGGAAACACCAUUACUGGUAAUUUUAUGGGGGAUUCUUCUUCUCCGUUUAUUUUUGCUUUCUUCCUCUCCAUGUUGUAUCUCUAUCUAUAUUUUUGCAUCAGUAGUGAUUCAACUAACAAAAAGAGACGACUCUGUUUAUCCAAGAACUGAUCAUCCCUUUCGAAAAAGGUAAUUCUUUUUUAAUAAAGUUAAAUCACUUAUCAAGAAUAUAAUAUAAGAUAUGUAUUAUAAUCAAGUGCAAUUUAUUUAUUGUGCGUGAUCCUCUUCGGUACGUCUGAGAGCCAAAGGUAAUCUCAAAACUUUUUAAAAACUUUGAAACUCAUUAACGUUGUCCUAUCAAUUAUAUAAUUUGUUAUUUUUUGGGAAUUGUUUACAUCUUUAAAUAUUUUUUUAGAAUUACUUCUUUUCGGACUCAAUGCUUAGAGAAGAAAACCGUAAAUCAUCUCUACUGUUACAAUGAAACCAAUGAUAAGAAAUCUCAGGUAAUUCAAAUCUCUUUUUUAUAUUUCAUGGCUGAUUUUUUUUAUUGGGGUUAUGCGUGAAGUAUUUGUUUAUCUCAAUUAUAUUUUUCUGAUGUUUAAAAUUAGUGUUAAAUGUGAUCGUUUUCUAAACGUUCUAAUGUAUUCUUUGUUCAUAUGAACAUAGUAUAAAUAUCAAUAUGUAACAUCGAAUCUUUCAUAUUAACCAUAUACAUAUAACAUAAGUAUUAUAUAAUUGUAAAUAUGUAAUUAUCACGGUCUACCUAGUGACAAUUAAAACAACAAACGUCUCCUAAUUUGGGAUUAGAUGAUACGUGCCUUAGAGGACACGUGGUAGCAGUGUAUUGGAUCAUGCUCUAAUGAGAAGGAAAAAAAAACCGAUCACCGAGUCCUCUCUCUCUCUCUCUCUUUCUCUCUCUCUCUUGUUCCCGAAAAUCGCAUGCGUCGGAAGCGAAUCGAAGAGGCUGUUUUGUGAAUCGAAAGGUAGAAUCGUGUGAUUGUGUUGGGAUUUUGAGAUUGGAAUAGAGUAUUAAUUACCUUCAAUCCUCUUCUCCUCUUCAAUGGCGAUUUCACGUUUUUCUUCUUCUUCACACAGUUCUUCCUCUGUUCGAACAAAGUGAUACAGGUUGCUCUAGGUCGUUCUGCUUCUGAUGAAAUCCGUCCGUGUAUCUUCAAAGCCUCCAAGCUGCUUCAUGGUGUUGUUGGACUUCAUAAUACGGAUACGCCAAAGGAAGAGGUAGAAAGUGUCUGUUGGGAAUCAAGUUGGCUAUUUCAAACUCAACUUGGUCUGCAGAUGGAGCGCUAAUGACUUUGAGCUUUACCGAGAAGGCUUGGAUCUCUCGGACGUUGAAACAAGAUUUUGAUGAUCAACUCUUUUAAGUUUCUAAAUAUCGUAUUAUUCACUUGGGUUGUGCUUGUUCUAUUGGUUCUUGGUUUGCACUUGGCUGUUUUAUGUCAAAGUUUUGUUGCAUUAAUGUUUGUAGAAUAUCAAAUUAUCAUCUUGACCGAACUACAAUAUCAAUCUUUAAAAUGUUUAAGCUUAUUUUCUUGUUAUUC